GGACAGACGGGGACAUUCGUAUUGCGGCGCUAGAGGUGAAAUUCUUGGACCGUCGCAAGACGAACUAAGGCGAAAGCAUUUGUCAAGAAUGUUUUCAUUAAUCAAGAACGAAAGUUAGAGGUUCGAAGGCGAUCAGAUACCGCCCUAGUUCUAACCAUAAACGAUGCCAGCCAGCGAUUAGCCUGAGUUCCUUAAAUGACUCGGCUAGCAGCUUCCGGGAAACCAAAGCUUUUCGGUUCCGGGGGAAGUAUGGUUGCAAAGCUGAAACUUAAAGGAAUUGACGGAAGGGCACCACCAGGAGUGGAGCCUGCGGCUUAAUUUGACUCAACACGGGAAAACUUACCUGGUCAGGACACUGGAAGGAUUGACAGAUUGAGAGCUCUUUCUUGAUUCAGUGGGUGGUGGUGCAUGGCCGUUCUUAGUUGGUGGAGCGAUUUGUCUGGUUAAUUCCGAUAACGAACGAGACUCUAGCCUACUAAAUAGACUGCUCAACUUUAUAGCUGCAUCACCUUGCAGUUGCUUCGGUGGCUGUAAGGCUGUGGUGACGUUGGCAGUGCUUCUUAGAGGGACAGGCGGCGGUUCAGCCGCACGAAACAGAGCAAUAACAGGUCUGUGAUGCCCUUAGAUGUCCAGGGCCGCACGCGCGCUACACUGAAGUGAUCAGCGUGCAAUUAACGUUUCCUACUCCGUCAGGAGUGGGUAACCCGUUGAACCUUCUUCGUGAUUGGGAUAGGGGAUUGUAUUUAUUCCCCUUGAACGAGGAAUUCCCAGUAAGCGCAAGUCAUAAGCUUGCGUUGAUUACGUCCCUGCCUUUUGUACACACCGCCCGUCGCUACUAC
rnacentral:rRNA from 1 species